CUGACUUGAAUCCCAUUGAGCACGUGUG
rnacentral:sRNA from 1 species